rnacentral:rRNA from 1 species
AUUGAACGCUGGCGGCAUGCUUUACACAUGCAAGUCGAACGGUAACAGGCCUUCGGGUGCUGACGAGUGGCGAACGGGUGAGUAAUGCAUCGGAACGUACCCAGAGGUGGGGGAUAACGCAGCGAAAGCUGUGCUAAUGCCGCAUGUGAUCUGAGGAUGAAAGCGGGGGACCGAGCAGCAAUGUUUGGCCUCGCGCCUUUGGAGCGGCCGAUGUCGGAUUAGCUAGUUGGUGGGGUAAAGGCCUACCAAGGCGACGAUCCGUAGCUGGUCUGAGAGGACGACCAGCCACACUGGGACUGAGACACGGCCCAGACUCCUACGGGAGGCAGCAGUGGGGAAUUUUGGACAAUGGGCGUAAGCCUGAUCCAGCAAUGCCGCGUGCGGGAAGAAGGCCUUCGGGUUGUAAACCGCUUUUGGCAGGAACGAAACGGUGUCCGCUAAUACCGGGCGCUAAUGACGGUACCUGCAGAAUAAGCACCGGCUAACUACGUG